GAGUUUGAUCUUGGCUCAGAUUGAACGCUGGCGGCAUGCCUUACACAUGCAAGUCGAACGGCAGCACGGGAGCUUGCUCCUGGUGGCGAGUGGCGAACGGGUGAGUAAUGCAUCGGAACGUAUCCUGGAGUGGGGGAUAACGUAGCGAAAGUUACGCUAAUACCGCAUAUUCUGUGAGCAGGAAAGCGGGGGACCUUCGGGCCUCGCGCUCUUGGAGCGGCCGAUGUCGGAUUAGCUAGUUGGUGAGGUAAAGGCUCACCAAGGCGACGAUCCGUAGCAGGUCUGAGAGGAUGAUCUGCCACACUGGAACUGAGACACGGUCCAGACUCCUACGGAGGCAGCAGUGGGAAUUUUGGACAAUGGGGGCAACCCUGAUCCAGCCAUGCCGCGUGAGUGAAGAAGGCCUCGGUUG
rnacentral:rRNA from 1 species